AUUGAACGCUGGCGGCAUGCCUUACACAUGCAAGUCGAACGGCAGCACGGGAGCAAUCCUGGUGCGAGUGGCGAACGGGUGAGUAAUACAUCGGAACGUGUCCAGUAGUGGGGGAUAGCCCGGCGAAAGCCGGAUUAAUACCGCAUACGACCUACGGGUGAAAGCGGGGGAUCGCAAGACCUUGCGCUAUCGGAGCGGCCGAUGUCAGAUUAGCUAGUUGGUGGGGAGAAGCCUACCAAGGCGACGAUCUGUAGCUGGUCUGAGAGGACGACCAGCCACACUGGGACUGAGACACGGCCCAGACUCCUACGGGAGGCAGCAGUGGGGAAUUUUGGACAAUGGGCGCAAGCCUGAUCCAGCCA
rnacentral:rRNA from 1 species